rnacentral:rRNA from 1 species
CCUACGGGAGGCAGCAGUAAGGAAUCUUCCACAAUGGACGAAAGUCUGAUGGAGCAACGCCGCGUGCAGGAUGAAGGCUUUCGGGUCGUAAACUGCUUUUAUAUGGGAAGAUUAUGACGGUACCAUAUGAAUAAGGACCGGCUAACUACGUGCCAGCAGCCGCGGUAAUACGUAGGGUCCAAGCGAUAUCCGGAAUUACUGGGCGUAAAGCGUGUGUAGGUGGAUUAAUAAGUGUGAUGCGAAAUCCGGCGGCUCAACCGUUUGGACUGUGUCGCAUACUGUUAGUCUAGAGGACGGCAGAGGUAAGUGGAAUUACGGGUGUAGCAGUGAAAUGCGUAGAUAUCCGUAGGAACACCAAUGGCGAAGGCAGCUUACUGGGCCACACCUGACACUGAGACACGAAAGCGUGGGGAGCGAACAGGAUUAGAUACCCUGGUAGUCCACGCCGUAAACGAUGCAUACUAUUAGUAUGGGGUAUCGACCCCCUGUGCUGAGAAGCUAACGCGAUAAGUAUGCCGCCUGGGGAGUACGAGCGCAAGCUUAAAACUCAAAGGAAUUGACGGCNGAGAGNGCGAGACGACACGAGGGAGAGG